rnacentral:lncRNA from 1 species
AGAGAGAGAGAGAGAGGGAGAGAGAGGGAGGGAAGGGAGAGGAGGAGAGAGAAGGGGUGAGAGUGUUGUGCGAGAGUGGUUCGGGGAGGGAGAAUUGGGGGUGAGGGUGAGGGUGAGGGUGAGGGUGAGGGUUUGGGUGGUCAGAAGACUCAGAACAGCCAAAUCGGCUUGAGCCUGUUUUUCUGGGAUUUUUUUCCCCUUCUUUUUCUUUUUCUUUUUUCUUUUUU